ACCCAUAGUCCCACACGCAUAACACUCUCUCUCUCUCUCUCUCUCUCUCUCUCUCUCAGAGAUCUCGGCACUUCAACACAAAUUAACCCUAAUUGUUUUUUUUCCUUCAUUUUUAUACGAUCUCAGUUCAUCUGUUGAUCAAAUCGUUGCGGAUUAAGUGGAAGCCAUGAUAUAAUUUCCUUCCUCUCCUUGUUAAUUUCUUCAAUUUAAGAAACUCCAAUUUCGCUGGUUUUUGUUCAACUCCAUCUAUGUCACCUUCGUCAUCGCCGGUGCUUUCGUUGGUGAACGGAUUAUGAACCAGAUGAACACCAGAGCCAUACUACUGUCGUCACAUCUAGAGAUAUUUAAGUUCUUCGUUCAAGGUGGAUUUCCAACAUAGCAUAGCUAUUUGCCUAGUGCUUUAAAAGGUGAAUCCUUCAGUCCUUCCCGAUAAGGUAACUUGUAAUCUGCUGGUUAGACCUUUAGUUUUAAAUUUUUUUUAUUAAUGUGCAGCUGGUGAAUUGACGGAGGCUUCCUCUUUACAGGAAUUAUAAUAGUGAAUUCAUUAAACCAUUUUUAAGUUUUUUCCUUAGCCUUGAUGUUAUUCAUCUAAGUUUACUUGAACUGAGAUAUUUUGCUUAUAAUUUGUAGUAAUAUUGUGUUGUAAUAAUUAAUAUUAUGCAUUUUGUCUCUCUAGCUGUUUUUUCCCUUGUAUUUUAUAUUUUGAAGUUACUUUUUGUAUACUAAUGAUUCUAUGACAUAGCUUAAGCUACAUCAGAGAGAAAUAGAAAUGAAUUAUGUGGAUAUCUAUCUGAAUGGAAUAUCCCAUAUAUUGUCAUGGUAAUGCAUCUCCAUUGUUCAACUAGAUUUUUUCCAUCAAUAUUUCUCGCCAUCCCUUGUUUCUUCUAAACAUCAAUAUCAUCAAAAUUAGAACAAUAAGUUGUAUAAAUAUUGUUGUUGUCGCUGCAGGAUUCUGACCACAUGGUUGUUGACCACAAUAUCAGUGCUAUUAUUAAUCCACGAUGUUGUUGUUGUAUGUCUCCCCAAGAUAAACUGAACAACUAGUUCUUGCUUUAGGAUUCAGAAACAUCAGAGGGUUUGCGAUGAAUUCAAGGCUAACAAUGAGUUAUUGGUCGACACUUUGUUUUACGCCCUUUUGCAAGCACAUUAAGGAGCAGCUAAAUUAGAGAUAGGUUGCAAUUUUUUUUGUAAAGAAAUGAGCAUAUUUGUUCCACUACCACUAGUCACGAAUAAAGUGUAACUUUGAAAUAUAGUGGUUGUAUUUCUCAUUACUAUGAGAUAAUUUAAUUGUACAUAUACUAUAAUAUAUUUAUAUAUGCAAUAAAAAAAAACUGCCAUAAUUUUGCUUUCUCUA